rnacentral:tRNA from 1 species
AAAACUCAGGGGAAUUAGCUCAAGUGGUAGAGUGCUCGCUUAGCAUGCGAGAGGCAGUGGGAUCGAUGCCCACAUUCUCCAUGUGUCUUUGUUUCUUCUGACAAAUGUUUUUUUUUUUUUUAAUUCAUUUUGAAAAAAUGUCAGCAAAUGUGUCUGAAAACCAACUACAAGUAAUAAUUUACUAGGCCGAUGAGGAUGGGAGUCGAACCCACGCGUGCAGAGCACAAUGGAAUAGCAGUCCAU